CCUACGGGAGGCAGCAGUGGGGAAUAUUGCACAAUGGGGGAAACCCUGAUGCAGCGACGCCGCGUGAGUGAAGAAGUAUUUCGGUAUGUAAAGCUCUAUCAGCAGGGAAGAAAAUGACGGUACCUGAUUCAGAAGCCCCGGCUAACUACGUGCCAGCAGCCGCGGUAAUACGUCGGGGGCAAGCGUUAUCCGGAUGUACUGGGUGUAAAGGGAGCGUAGACGGCAGCACAAGUCUGGAGUGAAAUUCCGGGGCUUAACCCCGGAACUGCUUUUGAAACUGUGCAGCUAGAGUGCAGGAGAGGUAAGUGGAAUUCCUAGUGUAGCGGUGAAAUGCGUAGAUAUUAGGAGGAACACCAGUGGCGAAGGCAGCUUACUGGACUGUAACUGACGUUGAGGCUCGAAAGCGUGGGGUGCAAACAGGAUUAGAUACCCGUGUAGUC
rnacentral:rRNA from 1 species